rnacentral:rRNA from 1 species
AUUGAACGCUGGCGGCAUGCUUUACACAUGCAAGUCGAACGGUAACAGGCCUUCGGGUGCUGACGAGUGGCGCACGGGUGAGUAAUGCAUCGGAACGUACCCAGAGGUGGGGGAUAACGCAGCGAAAGCUGUGCUAAUACUGCAUGUGAUCUGAGGAUGAAAGCGGGGGACCGAGCAGCAAUGUUUGGCCUCGCGCCUUUGGAGCGGCCGAUGUCGGAUUAGCUAGUUGGUGGGGUAAAGGCCUACCAAGGCGACGAUCCGUAGCUGGUCUGAGAGGACGACCAGCCACACUGGGACUGAGACACGGCCCAGACUCCUACGGGAGGCAGCAGUGGGGAAUUUUGGACAAUGGGCGCAAGCCUGAUCCAGCAAUGCCGCGUGCGGGAAGAAGGCCUUCGGGUUGUAAACCGCUUUUGGCAGGAACGAAACGGUGUCCGCUAAUACCGGGCGCUAAUGACGGUACCUGCAGAAUAAGCACCGGCUAACUACGUG